CAGGCGGAGGGGCUGCUGCUCCCGGUACCCGGGUCGCUGCCUGAGGCGCAGGCGCGUGGUCGCAGUCUGCCCGGGCCUCGCAUCGCUGUGGGCUUACCCUGACGACGCAGCAGAGGCCUUUCCGCCUGGCGGUGCUCGGCGCCUCUGACUUUACCGGCCAGCUCAUGACAGAGCAGGUGUCCCGGAGCGGACCUCCCACCUGCCGUGGGCCGCGCGGGCCGCUCCCCGGAGAAGCUGCGGCGAGUGCCGGAGAGGUUGCCGUGAAGCCGGGAAGACCAACACUGUCAUCUGAAGUUGGAAUAAUAAUUUGUGAUAUCACCAGUCUAGCCUCACUUGAUGAAAUGGCUACACCGGCAACAGUUGUCCUCAAUUGUGUAGGACAGGUACAUUGACUGUUAUGGAAAGUUUUCUGACCUUACAUUCAGGACCUAAGGCACAACAUGGUACUGCUUCUGCUGGGGAUCCAUGUCAGCAAACCGAAACUUAGAUAACUUUGUGUCUGUGCAAAUGUUCCUCAUGAUCAAGAGUGAAAGGAUUUCAAUCUAAAAUGGAACCAGAGGGUUUGAAAUGGAGAAUCUCAGGCAUGCACCCUCAGAAAAAUCGGCUUUAAGAAUUGAGUCUCCUGAUUUACAGAAGACUAAGAGUUACCUCCUGACCAAUGAAUAUGUAGCAUGAAUCCCUCCCCAUCCUCAAGCCAAGGACUUACAGCUUGGACUCCGGCUGGACUCUCCCCUGUUUGCACUCCUUGCCCACCCCAGAUGACAAGUCAACUAUUGAGUCUUCUCACCCAAAAUCAGGUUGACUGUGUGGCCUCAGUCAAUCAGAUAUUUUAUUUCUUCUCUCUUUCUUGUUCUUUAUUCUUUAUUCUAUAAAAGUUUCUUGCCUUCUGCCCCAUUCUGAAGUUCUCCAAAAGAAGAUUCACUUCAUGAAGUUCUAUAUAAAGUUUGUUUGUAUCACUUAUGUUGCUUUUUCAUCCUUUUUAAACAGUUUUUAGUGACCAGGAGUGAGACCCAAAGUUGAAUGCUAAUGGCUGAUGGGAUCAGGAGGUACACAGGCAUGGCGCCUGCUGAUCCCUUUGAGUUCACUGUUUCUCUCAUUGUUACUAAGGAAGGGCCAGGGGUAAGUCAGUCUUGGAUUUUAGCUCUGUUCUUUAGCAUGCUGCUCCGUGAUCAAAACAAACUCCGCAGAAAGUUUCUGGAGCCCCAGAAGGAUUCCAGGAUAGUUGUAUUGGGAGUCUGCAGUGUGUAGCAGCCACCAAGGGACUCACAAAGCCUUGAGGGAACCAGACCAGAAAUAAGGAAGCACUGCCAUUUCCCAAAUCGCGCGCCGCCCCAGCUUCUGGAAACUUUCAUCCCACCCGCCAAGCGAGCGACUCCAUGUGGAAUUGAGGAGAACCCGCUCGGGAAAGUGUGGAGCGCCGGAGCAGACAGGGACCUCUUCCCUUUUAAAGAUGUCUCCGCAGAGUACUGUGAUUCCAAUAUGACUUUAAUGAAAUUUUGUGAAGGACUGGGGAAAAAAAUGUACUUUCUUUCCGUGAAGAAACAGCACGCAGGAGGAGCGAGGAGAAGGCACCGACGUUUCAAAGGAGCCGAAACUCAGACGGCCCGUCGGGGAGGAUGCGCUGAGCCUGCGAAGGUGAUUGCUUUGUCUGGGAGAGAUUCUGGAGAGUUGCAGAGGUAGUUUCAGAAGUGCUGUGGCUGACAGGAGAAACUGAAGGUAUAUGGCGCCUUGGGUGGGAGACAUCAUGGUUCAGCUUGCAGUGGGGAGACUCACGGGUUUACAUGACUGUGUCCAUGACGUGCUGCGGGACCUCCAGGGAGUUCCUUACACCGUCAGACAAAUGGAGUGGGUGGAGCCACUGUUUGUGGGAUGUUAACAUCUUGACAGGUGAGUGAAGAGAACUAAACAGUUGUCAACACACAGCCCUCCUUUGGCAGGUGAGCAGCUGAGAGAUUUGAAAGUGACUUUUCUGAGCUACCUGGCCACUCAGUGCCAGGGUCAGAUUGACCCACGUCUCAUCUUUGCUCAUCGUUAGUCCAGCGCCUUUACAGCCCCGCCCUGCUGUUCUUUUUCUCCCAGAGGCAAAAAUACACGUGUCAGAAGGCUUACUUAAUCUUUCAGUCUGUUCAAGGACAGACCAAGAGCAAUGUGGUGGGAGAAAUGGUGAACGGGGAAGACAGCAGCAGGUGGUGAAGGGCUACGAUUCCCCCCAGGCUGCGGAUCUAAACUGGGAUCGCCAGGAGCAGUCAAGAUCCAACCCCCCGCAUUCCAGGGAACGUGUGCCUUUUGUUGUGAAAAAUCACUAAUUGGAAAUUUGCAGAAAAGAAGGAAAAAAAUGAACAAACCCGAAGUGAUACAUGCAAAAAGUACACAAUAUAAAUGACUAAAAUGAAACAGCCAAGUUCAGAGGCUAAAGUUAAGAAUAAUGAGUUGUAUUUAAUGUAAUGUGACUGUCGUGUCAAGCGGAUACUCAGAACAGACCAGAGAAUGUGGUGACAAAUAACGUAUGAAUCAAAGCAGAGAACUGUUAUAAGUACUUUAAUCAUGGAUUCUCUAGAACCUACUUGAAUAAAAAUACUUUGAGGCUAUUCCCUGUGGAGGUUGUUAUAGAAAGUGAAUGGGGUUAUUUUAUCCAUAUUAAGAUGUAAGAUUUUCUGUUUAUGCCAUCACCAUUUGAUUAGUGCUUAAAUUUUAUCUGAGAAUUAAAAAUAAGUAUGAGAUCAUAAUAAUAUAAUGCUGCUUUUAAAUUGACAUCUUAAGAAAAACUUGAGUAACUACAAUAAACACAAGGUAUUGACAACAAUGACUACUUAAGAGAAAAUGGUUCCAUGGAGUUUUGUUUUUUUUUUAACUUAGAAUUUGGUUUUGGGCAUGAAAACUCUGCCUUUGUGGUAUGUCGCAGAGUCUAGUUACCCCAGAUCCCAGUAUUAAUGCUCAUACUGCUUCAGCUUGGUCCGUUCUCAGAAGACUGGGUUGCAUUACCAGGGGUGUUUGGUGUUUCCAUAAACUGAAAUUGUGCACCUGGGUGUGUGUGGAGAUGACCGAACGCUGUGCUGACGUUUCCUCUCGGGCACUCGGGAUCGAGGAGGAGGGCUCCAAUAUCUGAAGUGCAAAGUGCAAAUGGGUUUCUCCACUUCAUGAUAUGGGGGAUGAAAUUGAGACCUAGCAGGCAGAGUGAGGCUUCUGUUAAGAUAUAUCUGGAAAUUAGUCAUGUGUAGGUAAAUUAUCAGUCACACUUGAGAUCAGACAUCUUGCUUAAUCAUUCAAGAAGUACUGGGUGGAUGCAAACAAAGGUAACAAAGUGGAUUCUGAAACAGGAGUCAGGCGCUGGUACCUUUCAUUACUGACGUGAUGGGUGGACGAGCAUCAAGAACCCAGUCUCAGCUCCCAAGACCCUGGCUUUUAAUCCACAAGCUUGGAAAACAGAUACCAUGUUGUUACGCCUAAAAGGUCCUUCUUUUGUUUACUAAUGGAUAAUAUUUGACAAGCUGAUUAGAAUUUUUAAUAUAUGCCAUCUACUUUCAGUAACAAAAGUGACAUUUUUGGUAUAUGAUUAUAUAUUCGUAUAUAUGUGUCUGUGCAUAUAUAUAUGAAUUCUCUGUAAAGAGAAAAGACAAUGAAAGUCAACUGUUUAUCUACUUUAUAUGUGUUCAACAUCUUGUAGUAACCUGUGGUGAAAAAGAAUGUGAAAAUGAAUAUAUGUAUGUUAAUGUAUGACUGAAGCAUUAUGCUGGACACCAGAAAUUGACACAACAUUGUAAACUGACUAUACUUCAAUAAAUAUAUAUAUACAAAAAUAAAUAAAGAUUAGAAAAGUC